rnacentral:rRNA from 1 species
UACGUAGGGGGCAAGCGUUGUCCGGAAUCAUUGGGCGUAAAGGGCGCGUAGGCGGCCCAGUAAGUCCGCUGUAAAAGUCAAAGGCUCAACCUUUGAAUGCCGGUGGAAACUGCUGGGCUAGAGUCCGGAAGAGGCGAGUGGAAUUCCUGGUGUAGCGGUGGAAUGCGCAGAUAUCAGGAGGAACACCAGUAGCGAAGGCAGCUCGCUGGGACGGUACUGACGCUGAGGCGCGAAAGCGUGGGGAGCGAACAGG